rnacentral:rRNA from 1 species
AAGACCUUGCACUUUUGGAGCGGCCGAUGUCUGAUUAGCUAGUUGGUGGGGUAAUGGCCUACCAAAGCUUCGAUCAGUAGCUGGUCUGAGAGGACGGCCAGCCACACUGGGACUGAGACACGGCCCAGACUCCUACGGGAGGCAGCAGUGGGGAAUUUUGGACAAUGGGCGCAAGCCUGAUCCAGCCAUGCCGCGUGAGUGAAGAAGGCCUUCGGGUYGUAAAGCUCUUUCAGCCGGGAAGAAAAGGUUGCGACUAAUAAUCGCARUUCAUGACGGUACCGAAAGAAGAAGCACCGGCUAACUACGUGCCAGCAGCCGCGGUAAUACGUAGGGUGCGAGCGUUAAUCGGAAUUACUGGGCGUAAAGGGUGCGCAGGCGGUUUUGUAAGUCAGAUGUGAAAUCCCCGGGCUUAACCUGGGAACU